rnacentral:rRNA from 1 species
GAUGAACGCUGGCGGCGUGCCUAAUACAUGCAAGUCGAGCGAACAGACGAUUAGCUUGUUCCUCUGACGUUAGCGGCUGACGGGUGAGUAACACGUGGAUCACCUACUUAUUUGACUGGGAUAACUACGUGAAACCGUAGCUGAUACUGGAUAAUAUAUUCAACCGCAUGGUUCAAUAGUGAAAGACGGUUUUGCCGUCACUUCUAGAUGGAUCCGCGCUUCAUUAUCUAGUUGGUAAGGUAACUGCUUACCAAGGCAACGAUGCGUAGCCGACCUGCGAGGGUGAUCGGCGACACUGGAACUGAGACACGGUCCAGACUCCUACGGGAGGCAGCAGUAGGGAAUCUUCGGCAAUGGGCGAAAGCCUGACGGAGCAACGCCGCGUGGGUGAUGAAGGUCUUCGGUUCGUAAAACUCUGUUAUUAGGGAAGAAAAAAUGUGGAUGAAACUAUACACGUCUUGACGGUACCUAAUGAGAAAGCUACGGCUAACUACGUG